rnacentral:rRNA from 1 species
GAUGAACGCUAGCGGCAGGCCUAAUACAUGCAAGUCGGACGGUAACUGAGGUAGCAAUACUUUAGCAAGAGUGACGUAAGGGUGCGUAACACGUAUACAAUCUGCCCGCAACUGGAGCAUAGCUCGGGGAAACUCGAAUUAACUCUCCAUAAGAAAGUGGUGUGGCAUCACACAGCUUUUAAAACUCCGGUGGUUGCGGAUGAGCAUGCGCAUGAUUAGCUAGUUGGCGGGGUAAAGGCCCACCAAGGCGAUGAUCAUUAGGGGAACUGAGAGGUUGAUCCCCCACACGGGCACUGGGAUACGGGCCAGACUCCUACGGGAGGCAACAGUAGGGAAUAUUGGACAAUGGGUGCAAGCCUGAUCCAGCCAUGCCGCGUGCAGGAAGAAGGCCUUCUGGGUUGUAAACUGCUUUUGCCAGGGGAUAAAAAACAUUACGAGUAAUGUCUUGUAGGUACCUUACGAAUAAGGAUCGGCUAACUCCGUGCCAGCCGCCGCAGUAACAC